rnacentral:rRNA from 1 species
AUUGAACGCUGGCGGCAGGCCUAACACAUGCAAGUCGAACGAGUGGCGGACGGGUGAGUAAUGUAUGGGAAACUGCCUGAUGGAGGGGGAUAACUACUGGAAACGGUAGCUAAUACCGCAUACAAUCAGAUGUGCCCAGAUGGGAUUAGCUUGUUGGUGGGGUAACGGCUCACCAAGGCGACGAUCCCUAGCUGGUCUGAGAGGAUGACCAGCCACACUGGAACUGAGACACGGCCCAGACUCCUACGGGAGGCAGCAGUGGGGAAUAUUGGACAAUGGGGGAAACCCUGAUGCAGCCAUGCCGCGUGUAUGAUGAAGGCCUUCGGGUGGUAAAGUACUUUCAGCAGGGAGGCGGUACCCGCAGAAGAAGCACCGGCUAACUCCGUGCCAGCCGCCGCGGUAAUUC